GACAGAGGGUGCAAACGUUGUUCGGAAUUACUGGGCGUAAAGCGCGUGUAGGCGGCCCUGCAAGUCGGAUGUGGAAUCCCACGGCUCAACCGUGGAAGUGCAUUCGAAACUGCAGGGCUAGAGUCCUGGAGAGGAAGGUGGAAUGCUUGGUGUAGAGGUGAAAUUCGUAGAUAUCAAGCGGAACACCGGUGGCGAAGGCGGCCUUCUGGACAGUGACUGACGCUGAGACGCGAAAGCGUGGGGAGCAAACAGG
rnacentral:rRNA from 1 species